rnacentral:pre_miRNA from 1 species
UCUUAUGGAUUAUAAAGAAAGUAGUUUCUUGAGAUGGAAUCUACUCUUGGUGAAGAUACUGUUAA